rnacentral:lncRNA from 1 species
UAACAUUUGCUGGAUAAUGCUUUAGAGGGGCUUCACUGGGCAGGGUUUGGACUGGUCCAUCAGGGAAGGGCAUGGUCUUCCAUCACCUUGAAAGGGCUGGGUCACUGUUCGUCUUCGGAUCAUUUUUCCUUGAAGAGAUACAAAGUGAUGCACCUUUAAUAUAUGUUAUGGUUUUGCAAGCAUAUAUCUCAUUGGGAGAAGGCAUCACAGUGAUAUCUCCUGAGGCAAUCCAGGAACAAGUCUAUUGAGGCUCCUACUUAUCUUGGUUGGUAUUUGACCCAGUGGACCUCAGAUGCAUGGAGAGUCAACAUUUGUCAUGUUUUUGGGCUCUACCUGGACCUGCCAACCCAGUUCCUGUGCGCCCCUCAGAAGAAUUCAGCCUGCAGGAGGACAGCUUUGACCCCUGUGAUUUCAUCUCUGCCCCAACCAAUCAGCAGCAAGCACCCAUUCCCUGGCAGUCCCACCCCUUCCCCCAAACUGCCUUUGAAAAACCCCUACCUAGGAGCCUUAGACAAUAUUGAUUUGAGUACUAACUCCAUCUUCCAUGUGGCAUGGCUGGCCUUAUGUCUAUUAAACUCUUUCUUUACUGCA